AUACUUAUCUGGCAGGGGAGACACCAUGAUCAGACAGGUGGUUUUCCCAGGGCAAGGCUCAUCCCUUGCACUCGGUGUGCUGACCCCUGCGAUUUCCCCAAAUGUGGGAAACUCGACUGCAUAACUUGUGGUAGUGGGGGACUGUGUUUGUGCUCUCCCCUA
ensembl:snRNA U1 U1 spliceosomal RNA